GUUGUACCAACUGAUUGGAUGAAAAUCAAAAUUUUUUUGAUAUUUUGUCAAGUUGGAUCGUGUUUGGGUUGGUCGUGCGAUUUCAAACGUUUUCGCCAUUUUAUUUCGGCUGUCGAAGAGAGCGCGUCAUUUAUAAUAAGUAAAGCAACAACUUCCGAACUCAUGUUUAAGCAACGAAGUGAAUAUUCAAAAUGAAGUUGGCCUCAAAAUUGUGUCGUAUGUAGCAACAAGAGCAAUUUCGAGCAAUUUCUAGUCUCACAACCAACUAAUUGUUGCGUGUAUGCCUUCCAUUACAUCCGUGCACGGAUCGGCAAACAUACGAAAGAAAAUUACGUGAUACGUCAAUCGUAUCGGAGAUUGGCAUUAUGACAUACAAUAGCAAACGGAUCGUAAUGUAGUUUUUAAAUUUCACAUUGCUUUGGAUCGUAGUUUUAGGUCAAAAUAGAUAUGGAAUUGUCAAAACUGUAGCGAAAUUUUCAAUAAACUAACAAAAGCUAAUUAAGUCUCAAAAUGGAUCCAACUUUGUUUUUUUUAUUUGAGCUGUUGUGAAAGUGAUGGGGAUAAAAAAUAAUGUAUCGUUGAACAAAGCGUUGCAACCUUAAAAAGACGGUGGAGAAUUUUAGGAUAUGGCAAGAGAGGAAGGUAUCAUCUCACAAAAGUGGAAGAUUUGCUAACAUUUGUGCAGCAUUACAUAACAUCUGCAUAAAAUUUGCAAUAAGUUACGACCCUCAACAUUGCGAUUCUUAUCACACACAAAAAUGGACAACGGGGUAGCGAACCGCUUCACCGCAAUCGACCAAACGAUAAGAGACCAAAUAAGAACAACUGGACAUAUAUCAACCAUACCACUAAAACAACGUAGAACAGUAAAUUCUGAGUGGUACACAAUCAUUUGUUUGCCAGUUAUCUUUCAAGAAAAAAAAAACGAAUGCCGAGAACGGAUCACUUUUCACCGCGAUAAUGCGUGCUCUCAAACAUCGACUGAAACAAUUGCAUUUUUGAGAAUUCAAACUUUCAAUUUGAUGAGUCAUCCACCGUAUAGCCCUGGCGUGGGACCAAAUGAUUUCCGUACGUAGGAGAUAAACUAAUAGGUCGACGUUUUUCGACACUUGAUGAGGCGGUUGAUGCCUUCAGAAUGCAUGUUUUGGAGAUACCUCAAUCAGAGUAACAAAAAUGCAUCGAAAAUUGGUUCAAACGCAUGAAAAGUAUAUACAUACAUAGACCUUAAGGGAGAAUAUUUAAUACGACUUCAAUUAUGCUAGUUCAAUAAUUCAUCUACAUUUUAUAUAAAUAAAAAUGAAUCGCCAAAAUGUA